CUCUUACUAAACCCAAACUUAACUUGGAUCUGCCUCAAGUUCUCUGGGCUGAAUUUCCAAAAUGUCUGGAUUUUCUGACACUGCCCAACAUGAGGAAGGCGUGAAUAGAAAGAGAAAGUUAUGUUAAGCAACUAUGGAUGAAAAACUUGAUCAUAGAAAAUGUCACAAAUUUUAACAAAAUAAAUGAUUGUGUGAGUCCACAGGUGAGUCCCUGAACAGAUGAGAUGCUUCCCUGGCUUGAAUUAUGUUUGCCCCUAUUUCACUUUCGAUAUGUAGGAUGAUUCAUAAAAACCACUAACUUUCUGAAUUGUAUCUACCUCAAUUCACUGUGGAUGACAUGGUAUUAGUGCAUAUUAUUGCUUUUUGAGGUUUUAUUCAGUUUGUGCUUUAAAAUAAAAAUUUAUUGGAACUCUGGUAACAAAGAGCCCCUAAUGGAAAAUGGAAUUUUAAAAAAACCUAUUAGAUUUACUUUACAGAAAUUGGUUUACUAUUAAAAGGAAUGGUUUUGUAUAUUCAUUCAGGGAGUAUAAAACACCAGUGAUGCCAUGUGUGUUGCUUCUAUGCAAAGUAAGUGGGAGGAGAGAGUGUUUUUAGUUACAGCAAACAAGUGUACAACAGUUACACCAUGUGCCAGGUGCUGCUUCAAGUGCCUCUCCUGUGUGACCAUGUCUAGUUCUGGCAGAACUGCACAUAGCAGAUAAACUGAAAGCCCCCCCCCCCCACCGCCCCAUAUCAAGAAUUUCUAGGUGAAAUACAACAAAAUUCCUAGUAAAUGCCUGGCAGAGGUUCUAAGGGAAGGUAAAGGAAGCCACCAAAUACUCGAAACAGGAAGGGGACUGAAAACUAGGAGGUGACAAUCGGGAAGCGCUCUGUGAUGCCCUUGGUAGAAGGUCAACACUUGGGUUAUAAAGCUCAUGUGAAGUUAGAAGUGAGAGAGUUGGAACUGCUCCCCCUCCAUAAGAUAAGAACUCUGAAAAGGCUGUAUUCUCUGAGCCAGGGUGUUCUAAAGAGUCUUUGCCCUCAUACAGGAAAGCAGAAGGAAAUGGAUCUGUCUUUCUCUGGGUCCUGGAUAGGAAAAGAAAAGUCAUCCUAGAAAAACUUGGACUUAAGUACCUGAUUUCCUGUGAAUUUGAAAUUUAUAUUUGUAAUUCCCAUGUGUUCCAGGAGCUGCAGGCUGAGAAAUUAACUCCCAAAUUAGUUUUGUGUUCGUAAUAGCCUUGGGAAAAGUCCAAGACCCCAAAUCUGCUCUGGAGGGAGUCUUUUUGAGAUAUUAGGGAAUCAAUAAAUAACUCUCUUUCUCCUGACUUGGGACCCAACUAAAUCAUAACGAGGCAGGUGUCAAUUGGAAUUUCACCUCUAUGCCUGACACAUCUGGUUGGAUAGUGCGCAGCAUGAGCUCACUAGGACUUCACUCUCAAACCUGAUCAACUUCUUCCUUGAGUCUUAGCUCAGCUUUAUUAUAAUUGCUAAUCGCCCACAUGAGACAGACCGUUCAUAGAAAUCCCCGAAAGAUUGUAGGUGGUCUUGCAGUCAUCUUUGUCCCUAAAUAAUUGCAGAAGGAGUAAUCCACCAGUAAUAUGGAACAGUUCUAAAGCUGCAUGCACCUAAUAAAAUGGUCUCGGGAUCUAUAAGUAAAUCAAAUAGAGAAAUGGGCAAAUUCACAAUCACAGAAAAAAAGCUUCAACUUCCUUUUCUUGGUAAUUGAGACCCUAGGUGGACCAGUAUUAGAAAGGACAUAGAAAAUACAAAACAAGUCAGUAAAGAAUCUUGAUGUCAUAGACAAAGUCAGAACCUUGGACUAAAAAGAAAUACUUUCUGUUUGUAUAUAUGAGCCAGUAAGCUACAGGUGACAGAAUGAAAGUUAUACGUGCAUUUACAUCCUUGCAUAGAAACUCUGGGUUGUGAAAGAAGAUAUUUACAUAAAUGUUAAGUAUAGGAUUGUUUAUAAUACAAAAAAACCCCAAAUGCCCAGAAGUAGAAGACCAGAUAAAUGGAUUGUGUUCAUAUAAGGAAUACUAAAUGUUAGUUAAAACGACUGGACUAGAAUUAUCUGACUUAAAAUGGGUAGGUCUCAUAAAGGUGAGUGUCAAAUUGUAGAAUAACAUAUGUAGCAUAAUGACGUUAAUGUUAAGUUAAAAUGUAAAAACCAUAGUAUUCAUGGGUACGUAAAUCAUUGCCAAUUGGUAAAUGAUAUGUGUACAUACUGGAAGGAGCAAGGAAGGGGAACACGUUUUACAAAAGUUCUUCUGACUGAAUUUUUUUGUUGUUGCUGUUAAAAGCAAUUCUCGAAGAUGAUGCUUGGGCGUGUGGGAGUGACAUUUUCAGCUCUGGAAUAUAAAGGGAUGAGUGUUGGAUCUUUGAGAAUAUAUAAAAAAAAAAUCAUACUCUAAAUAUAAUUGUUUUCCUUUUAAAUCUUUACCGUUUCCCCAUAAGGUGAUGGGUAGGUAGAUUUCUAUUCCCCCCGUUUUAAAGAUAAUACCAAUGAGCCACAAGAGGGAGAACCCCAAAUCUAAAUUCCACACCUUUGGCUCAGAGUUCUAUCCAUAAUUAUUCUACUCUGACAUUUUCUACUUCCCCAUUCUCAGAAUGUGAUUUCAUUCUUUUUUCAAAGCCAGUGUAGUAGAACAUAACUAAUGAUGGGGUACUCACUGGAAAUCACCAAGUAUCAAGAAUUGGUGGAGUUCCUGUUGUGGCUCAACAGGUUAGGAGCCUGACAUAGUGUCCGUGAGGUUGCAGGUUCAAUCCCUGGCCUCACUCAGUGAGUUAAGGAUCCGGCCUUCCCGCAAGCUGGGUUGAAUCAGAGCUGUAGCUGCUGGCCACAGCCACAGCCACAGCAAUGUGAGAUCCGAGCCACAUCUUCGACCUACACCACAGCUCACGGCAACGCCAGAUUCCUAACCCACUGAGCAAGGCCAGGGAUCAAAACCCUCAUCCUUGGGGAUACUAGUCGGAUGCAUUUCCACUGCGCCACAACGGGAAUUUCCUCUUCCAGUCUUUUAAAUAAAAGGGUAUAUUUUAAAGCAUCUUGAAAAUGUUUGCAAAAAUGUUUCGAAUGUUUGAAAGCUUUUCUCUCUUUCACAUGUUUGUCCUAGUGGUCAGAGCAAAAAGACCAAAAUGGGCCCUGGGGCUCCCAGAUGUUUGUCCAGUAUCUGCGACUCACUAACUUCAUCAUUUGAGAAAGAGAAUCCUCUUGAACCGCAGUUUUCUUCUGUUUAUGUAUUGUUUCUGUUUGGAGAUCUCUAAUGACCUUUUCAGCUUGAAAAUGUUAUUAAUCUGGGAUUUCUUAAGACUAUUACCCAACGCAAAUCCAUAUGCGCGACGCACACUGAGGCCAAACAAUACUGAUAGAUCAGAAUUUGGAGCAGAGCAAGGUUGAUUGCAGGGCCAUGCAAGGAGAUGGAUGACUUGUGCCUCCAAAAGCCCUGAACUCCCUGAAGGCUUUCAUCAAAGCCCUUUUAAAGGCAGGAUGAGGGAGGGGCAUUGUUAGUUGUCGCAGAUUUCUUGGUGUGUUCCUGUAAAGCUCCAACAAAACAGAUGUUAUUCUCUGUUCUGCAAGUUUUUGUCUAAAAAUGUAAUACUCUUAAAGGUCAUGGCCCUAAGAAGAGGCUGUGUAUUUCAGGCUACAGGGAGCAUCCUAUAGGCGGCAUAUUUUUGCAAAAGGAGCGGAGCCAGGACGACUUAGCACAAGUGACAGAGGACAAGAAUUAAAGUAAGGUCAAAAUAAAAAGAACAGAUUCAAUAUAGAGUCAAAGUUGUUCUUCCCUAUUACAAGAGGGGUGGGUGGGGGUUACCUGGUCCGGUCCAUUAUUCCAUGCUGGAAGAUUGGAAGUGGUGUAUAGGGGAACAAUGUUUAGUUUACUAAUUCAGUAUUUUACUGUGAGUUUGAACCAAAUAGGAUUUGCAAAAAAAAAAUCAAGGCUUCCUGAUUAUUGAUGCUUAGGACAAGGUGAAAACAAAAGGAAUCAUUUUAGUGAAAAAUAUUAAGAAAAUAUGUGUUUUAUGCAUGUAUGGAGAAACAUUAGAAAUAUUGCAAGCCUGGGAUAGGUCCAAUAUACUCUAUUAAUUCAUGAAUCUAAGUUGAUGUGCUCUUAUGUUGCUUUUCAUGAGACCCAGAAAGACCACAGUUCUCUUAGGAGAACAGUGUAGAUGGUGAUUUAACCAUUUGCUUGACCUGCAUUGAGUGUAACCUGACAAGUACUGUGCCAGGUCCCAGGAUCCUUGGGUGAGUGGUUGUGACUUAGACCUUUGGUAGCUUGUAGUCUCAUGGGAUGUCAGGAGUGCAAAUGAGUAAUUGUAACCCAGUAUCAUAUCUGCAGUAGUGCAAGUAUGUACUAGGGACCAGACUGGGGAGAGCAGAGAGGAAGGAGGCCACCUCUUCCAUGGGAGCACCAGGGAAAGCAUCGCUGCAAUUAUGCUUGACCUGGCUGACACAUUGGGAAUGGCCAUUCCAGGUCUAGGGAAUGGUCAGUCCGGAGGCUUUCAGCAGAUUCUUGGGAUUCUUGGUGUUUCCUGAUAUGUGUUUUCAUAUAGGAAGAACCUACUAGAGAAGAUGUUGUUUUCACUCUCUCUUCCCAGUUCCAUGCCACAAGCCUGAGCUAAUCUUGCAGUAUUCAUGGAUUAGAUUCUGGAACAUUGGCCACCAUCUCUGCACUCUCCUGCUACCUGGCUCAGGGCUUUUUUUUUCUUUCUCUCCUGAAUGAGUCCUAAGUAAAAAUCCACAUAUCCUCUAAACAUUCAUUUUCAAUAUGGCUUUUGCUAUUUUUAAAAAGGCAAAGAGAAGAAAAAUGAUUUUCAUGAUCUUGGAUGAGGGAAGACUUUGUGGCCCUAAUUAAAUGCCUGAGUUUGGUUUUGUGUUUGCUGGGAGCCUACUGUAAAGCAAACCGAUGUGGCCUUCUGUUCUGUUCGAGGCGCCAAGAGCUUGCUGGGCUGGGUUCCCACUGAGUCUGGUAAUGCAUUCCUUCUGUCCCACCCUGUAUUGCAGAGCUUCGGAGGCUGAUGACAUCACCUUGGAUGAUAAAGCUGUCCUCCAAAGGGUUACAAGAAGAGCUGCCAGAGUGGAGCAAGGGAUGGAGGUGGGGGUGCAGAGGGGCUUGCCACUCUGUCCAACAUUGUCAUUGCAUUUGCCUUCUUAAAAAAAAAAAAAAAAAUCCUCUGUAGAAAUAGGAGAGAUUACACUUUUAAAUGUGAAGUAUUUUAUGGGGCUAAUUUAUUGCUCCAUUGCCGCCUGCCCUGCAAGCAGAUCUGUUCAUCUGUUCCCUUGACAGCCUGCAGAUUUAAGUUUGCCUUGCCUCCCAGUGGGCCUCAUCUGGACACCUUGGGAGCUGGUGGGAAUCAUGUAUAAAGUAGGUGUGGGCUGCCAGGGAGAAUCGUUUGAUGCAGUGUUCCUCUGGUUGAAAAUUUUCCUGUCAGGGCUGGGGGUUUACUGAUGCUUCUCGCCAUCCCAUCCUCAAUUCAAUUGUUCAAAGCUCCUCAUCGUUGUUUAAGUCCCAUCUUCAGUGCCACCUCUUGCAGGCACCUUCCCUGACUGUAUAAGGCGUGCACUUGGUAGCGUCACUUCUCAGUUGCCUCACUGCACUGCAGGCUGCGGGAAGGCAGGGAUGAUGGCAUUUGCGGGGAGCUUACCUCGUGCCAAGCCCCUUCUAAGUGCUUUCCGUGAGAGGCUGAGUUCCAGUCCCUAAGCUAGGCCACGCAUGUGAACUCUUUGAGGGUGAAAGAGGCAGGACUUGGGCUGAGGUUGGGCCAUGAUAAGGGGCCCUGGCUUUGGAGGUAGAAAUGAUCUUAGCCUGACGCCCUCUGAGCUUGUUACUCAGGGAACUCUAAUCUCAGUUGCCAGGCAUAUGACCACAGGGUGCUUGAGCCGUGUUUACCAUAUUUCAUCCCUUGCAAAUGGGACACUUUUUAAAAGCACCCACUUUUUGGGGGCUGUUCCUGUGGCCUGAGGAAGUUCCCGGGCAAGGGAUCAAACCUGAGCCAUGGCAGUGACAAUGCCAAGUUCUCAACUGCAGGCCACCUUUAACAUUUUUAACAUUUUUGAAACUGAGAAACAUCUUACAGUUGC
rnacentral:lncRNA from 1 species